UACGUAUGGGGCAAGCGUUAUCCGGAUUUACUGGGUGUAAAGGGAGCGUAGGCGGCAGGGCAAGCCUGAUGUGAAAGCCCGGGGCUCAACCCCGGGACUGCAUUGGGAACUGCCCUGCUGGAGUGCCGGAGGGGCAGGCGGAAUUCCUAGUGUAGCGGUGAAAUGCGUAGAUAUUAGGAGGAACACCAGUGGCGUAGGCGGCCUGCUGGACGGUGACUGACGCUGAGGCUCGAAAGCGUGGGGAGCAAACAGG
rnacentral:rRNA from 1 species